rnacentral:rRNA from 1 species
UACAGAGGGUGCAAGCGUUAAUCGGAAUUACUGGGCGUAAAGCGCGCGCAGGCGGUUCCUUAAGUCUGAUGUGAAAGCCCACGGCUCAACCGUGGAGGGUCAUUGGAAACUGGGGGACUUGAGUGCAGAAGAGGAGAGCGGAAUUCCACGUGUAGCGGUGAAAUGCGUAGAGAUGUGGAGGAACACCAGUGGCGAAGGCGGCUCUCUGGUCUGUAACUGACGCUGAGGCGCGAAAGCGUGGGGAGCAAACAGG